rnacentral:rRNA from 1 species
UAAGCGGAGGAAAAGAAACCAACCGGGAUUGCCUUAGUAACGGCGAGUGAAGCGGCAAAAGCUCAAAUUUGAAAUCUGGUACCUUCGGUGCCCGAGUUGUAAUUUGGAGAGGGCAACUUUGGGGCCGUUCCUUGUCUAUGUUCCUUGGAACAGGACGUCAUAGAGGGUGAGAAUCCCGUGUGGCGAGGAGUGCGGUUCUUUGUAAAGUGCCUUCGAAGAGUCGAGUUGUUUGGGAAUGCAGCUCUAAGUGGGUGGUAAAUUCCAUCUAAAGCUAAAUAUUGGCGAGAGACCGAUAGCGAACAAGUACAGUGAUGGAAAGAUGAAAAGAACUUUGAAAAGAGAGUGAAAAAGUACGUGAAAUUGUUGAAAGGGAAGGGCAUUUGAUCAGACAUGGUGUUUUGUGCCCUCUGCUCCUUGUGGGUAGGGGAAUCUCGCAUUUCACUGGGCCAGCAUCAGUUUUGGUGGCAGGAUAAAUCCAUAGGAAUGUAGCUUGCCUCGGUAAGUAUUAUAGCCUGUGGGAAUACUGCCAGCUGGGACUGAGGACUGCGACGUAAGUCAAGGAUGCUGGCAUAAUGGUUAUAUGCCGCCCGUCUUGAA